AGAGUUUGAUCAUGGCUCAGAACGUACGCUGGCGGCACGCCUUAUACAUGCAAGUCGAACGAAGUAGCAAUACUUAGUGGCAGACGGGUGAGUAACAUGUAGGUAUCUUCCCUUUGGUGAGGAAUAACACGAGGAAACUUGUGCUAAUACCUCAUAAGUCUUUACGGAGAAAGCUUUAUGCGCCGAAGGAUGAGCCUGCACUUGAUUAGUUUGUUGGUGGGGUAAUGGCCUACCAAGACUUUGAUCUAUAGCUGAUCUGAGAGGAUGAUCAGCCACAUUGGGACUGAGACACGGCCCAAACUCCUACGGGAGGCAGCAGUAGAGAAUAUUGCACAAUGGAGGAAACUCUGAUGCAGCGAUGCCGCGUGAGUGAAGAAGGCCCUUGGGUUGUAAAGCUCUUUCGUCGGGGAAGAAAAUGACUGUACCCGAAUAAGAAGGUCCGGCUAACUUCGUGCCAGCAGCCGCGGUAAUACGAAGGGACCUAGCGUAGUUCGGAAUUACUGGGCUUAAAGAGUUCGUAGGUGGUUAAAAAAGUUGGUGGUGAAAUCCCAGAGCUUAACUCUGGAACUGCCAUCAAAACUUUUUAGCUAGAGUAUGAUAGAGGAAAGCAGAAUUUCUAGUGUAGAGGUGAAAUUCGUAGAUAUUAGAAAGAAUACCAAUUGCGAAGGCAGCUUUCUGGAUCAUUACUGACGCUGAGGAACGAAAGCAUGGGUAGCGAAGAGGAUUAGAUACCCUCGUAGUCCAUGCCGUAAACGAUGUGUGUUAGACGUUGGAAAUUUAUUUUCAGUGUCGCAGCGAAAGCAUUAAACACACCGCCUGGGGAGUACGACCGCAAGGUUAAAACUCAAAUGAAUUGACGGGGACCCGCACAAGUAGUGGAGCAUGU
rnacentral:rRNA from 1 species